UGGGGAAUAUUGGACAAUGGGGGAAACCCUGAUCCAGCAACGCCGUGUGGGUGAUGAAGGUUUUCGGAUCGUAAAGCCCUGUCAGUUGGGAAUAAAUCAAUAAGCAUCAGAUCCUUAUUGUUGAAUGUACCAACAAAGGAAGCACCGGCUAACUCCGUGCCAGCAGCCGCGGUAAUACGAAGGGGGCUAGCGUUGUUCGGAAUUACUGGGCGUAAAGCGCACGUAGGCGGAUUGUUAAGUCAGAGGUGAAAUCCCGGAGCUCAACUUCGGAACUGCCUUUGAUACUGGCAAUCUAGAGUCCGGAAGAGGUUAGUGGAAUUCCCAGUGUAGAGGUGAAAUUCGUAGAUAUUGGGAAGAACACCAGUGGCGAAGGCGGCUAACUGGUCCGGUACUGACGCUGAGGUGCGAAAGCGUGGGGAGCAAACAGGAUUAGAUACCCCUGUAGUCCCUGAGCGGGCUGGCAAGGCGCAU
rnacentral:rRNA from 1 species